rnacentral:miRNA from 1 species
UCGUGGAACUCACUCUGUAGACCAGGCUGGCCUCGAACUCAGAAAUCCACCUGCCUCUGCCUCCCAAGUGCUGGGAUUAAAGGCAUGCACCACCACUGCCCG